rnacentral:pre_miRNA from 1 species
UUGGAGAAUUUGAAGACUUCAACUUACAAACUUGAAGAAUUUGAAGACUUCAACUUGUAGACAUGGAGUAUUUGAAGACUUCAACU